GACGAACGCUGGCGGCGUGCUUAACACAUGCAAGUCGAGCGGUAAGGCCCUUUCGGGGGUACACGAGCGGCGAACGGGUGAGUAACACGUGGGUGACCUGCCCUUAGCUCUGGGAUAAGCCUGGGAAACUGGGUCUAAUACCGGAUAUGACUCCAUAACGCAUGUUGUGGGGUGGAAAGCCUUGUGCGGCUAGGGAUGGGCCCGCGGCCUAUCAGCUUGU
rnacentral:rRNA from 1 species